GAGUUUGAUCCUGGCUCAGGACGAACGCUGGCGGCGUGCCUAACACAUGCAAGUCGAGCGGAGAAUAUAGCAAUAUGUUCUUAGCGGCGGACGGGUGAGUAACGCGUGGGUAACCUGCCUUAUACAGGGGGAUAACACAGGGAAACUUGUGCUAAUACCGCAUAAAACAGUUGGUUGGCAUCAAUUGACUGUCAAAGGAGCAAUCCGGUAUAAGAUGGACCCGCGUCCAAUUAGCUAGUUGGUGAUGUAACGGACCACCAAGGCGACGAUUGGUAGCCGAACUGAGAGGUUGAUCGGCCACAUUGGGACUGAGACACGGCCCAGACUCCUACGGGAGGCAGCAGUGGGGAAUAUUGCGCAAUGGGGGAAACCCUGACGCAGCAACGCCGCGUGAAGGAUGAAGGUUUUCGGAUCGUAAACUUCUUUGAUGAGGGAAGAAAAAUGACGGUACCUCAAAAACAA
rnacentral:rRNA from 1 species